UCGGGAAUAUUGCGCAAUGGAGGAAACUCUGACGCAGUGACGCCGCGUGCAGGAAGAAGGUUUUAGGAUUGUAAACUGCUUUAGACAGGGAAGAAAAAAAUGACAGUACCUGUAGAAUAAGCUCCGGCUAACUACGUGCCAGCAGCCGCGGUAAUACGUAGGGAGCGAGCGUUAUCCGGAAUUAUUGGGUGUAAAGGGUGCGUAGACGGGAAUGUAAGUUAGUUGUGAAAUCCCUCGGCUUAACUGAGGAACUGCAACUAAAACUACAUUUCUUGAGUGCAGGAGAGGAAAGUGGAAUUCCUAGUGUAGCGGUGAAAUGCAUAGAUAUAACUUAGAACUCCGAUAGCGAAGGCAGCUUACCAGACUGUAACUGACGCUGAUGCACGAGAGCGUGGGUAGCGAACA
rnacentral:rRNA from 1 species